AGAUUGAACGCUGGCGGUAGGCCUAACACAUGCAAGUCGAGCGCGAAAGUGCCUUCGGGUGCGAGUAGAGCGGCGGACGGGUGCGUAACGCGUAGGAAUCUGCCUGGUAGUGGGGGAUAACUCGGGGAAACUCGAGCUAAUACCGCAUACGCCCCAUGGGGGAAAGCGGGGGACCUUCGGGCCUCGCGCUAUCAGAUGAGCCUGCGUCGGAUUAGCUAGUUGGUAGGUAAUGGCCUACCAAGGCGACGAUCCGUAGCUGGUCUGAGAGGAUGAUCAGCCACACUGGGACUGAGACACGGCCCAGACUCCGUACGGGAGCAGCGAGGUGGGAAUAUUGGACAAGUGGGGGCAACCCGUGAUCCAGCCAUACCGCGUGUGUAGAAGACGGCCGUUCGGGUUAGUAAGUCUACGUUCGAGGUACGGGAAGGUAAAGUU
rnacentral:rRNA from 1 species